rnacentral:rRNA from 1 species
GACGAACGCUGGCGGCGUGCCUAAUACAUGCAAGUAGAACGCUGAAGAGAGGAGCUUGCUCUUCUUGGAUGAGUUGCGAACGGGUGAGUAACGCGUAGGUAACCUGCCUUGUAGCGGGGGAUAACUAUUGGAAACGAUAGCUAAUACCGCAUAACAAUGUAUGACACAUGUCAUUUAUUUGAAAGGGGCAAUUGCUCCACUACAAGAUGGACCUGCGUUGUAUUAGCUAGUAGGUGAGGUAAUGGCUCACCUAGGCGACGAUACAUAGCCGACCUGAGAGGGUGAUCGGCCACACUGGGACUGAGACACGGCCCAGACUCCUACGGGAGGCAGCAGUAGGGAAUCUUCGGCAAUGGGGGCAACCCUGAACGAGCAACGCCGCGUGAGUGAAGAAGGUUUUCGGAUCGUAAAGCUCUGUUGUAAGUCAAGAACGGGUGUGAGAGUGGAAAGUUCACACUGUGACGGUAGCUUACCAGAAAGGGACGGCUAACUACGUG